GUGAGAUUCUCCAGGGACACUGUGGAAAAGAGGAGGAAAAGGGAUGACGACGCAGCUGUCUACAGAAACACACCAAGAAGAGUAGGAGUUCAAGUCAAACAUGACGUCAUCCUGGAGAUCCCAAAUAUCUCCAGUCAAGAAGAAGUGUAUGUAAAUGACACCGAAGCGAUUAUAGAGG